CAUUGAGAUUCUAAACAAAGUUGUACUCAACCCAAUAAUUGCAACUCACUGCCCCUUCUGCCCCUCCUUUCAGGAGCAACAGUAAUUUUGAAUCGUUUUUUGUACAACCCUAUGUUCAUCUACUCCUCAGCCUAGCCUUACUACUGUGAACAUGAGAGAGAGAGAGAGAGAGAGAGAGAGAGAGGAUUGAGAUCCAGAGAGAGAGAGAGAGAGAGAGAGGUUCAGGCUCAGAGGGCUGUGAAACAGAGCCACAGAGUACCCCACUGUGACCUGCCAGGCCGCCCUAUAUUUCUACCACCUGUGAUACCUAAUACUCUCCCCACUAUACAUCUAUUGCCAAUAGCUGCUUCUUAGCUGUUUUUUCUUUCUUCUUUCUUGGCUUGGCCAAACAUAUAAUGAUGCUUUCUUUAUUUCACUGUUUCACGAGAGAGAUGCGGUUCAAUCAAGAACAAGAGGUAACCGAAAGUAUUUUUUUAGAUAAAAGUAUAGAAGAGGAAAAGAAUAUAUGACUUACUCUAACUAGUUUGUAGAUAAGACUUCGUUGUUGCAAUGAUGCGGUGAAAUGGAGUUUCAUAAUCAUUAGUAGUUGUGGGAUGUUUUUUCAAGUCAAUUAAGCUUCAUUUUGCAAAUUGAACUUGGGCAUUUCCUGUUGUUCCCUAACAAAAGUUGUUUCAUGUUACAUACAUAAUGCUUAAUUUUGGUUGAGAUCUGUGGAGUUUACAGUGCAUCUUUCACCAUUGAGAUGUUAUAAUUGUUUAAAUUUUUCCACAUUAUAUCAAUAAAGAAAGUCUAGGGACUUUUUUUUU